rnacentral:rRNA from 1 species
GGAAUCUUGCGCAAUGGGCGAAAGCCUGACGCAGCAACGCCGCGUGCGGGAAGAAGGCUUUCGGGCUGUAAACCGCUUUCAGCAGGAACGAAAAUGACGGUACCUGCAGAAGAAGGAGCGGCCAACUAUGUGCCAGCAGCCGCGGUGAUACAUAGGCUUCAAGCGUUGUCCGGAUUUAUUGGGCGUAAAGAGUUCGUAGGCGGUCGAGUAAGUCGGGUGUGAAAAUUCUGGGCUCAACCCAGAAACGCCACCCGAUACUGCUUAACUUGAGUUCGAUAGGGGAGUGGGGAAUUCCUAGUGUAGCGGUGAAAUGCGCAGAUAUUAGGAGGAACACCGGUGGCGAAGGCGCCACUCUGGAUCGAUACUGACGCUGAGGAACGAAAGCAUGGGUAGCAAACAGGAUUAGAUACCCUGGUAGUCCAUGCCGUAAACGGUGGGCACUAGGUGUGGGAUUCUAUUAACGAAUUCCGCGCCGUCGCUAACGCAUUAAGUGCCCCGCCUGGGGAGUACGGUCGCAAGACUAAAACUCAAAGGAAUUGACGG